AUUGAACGCUGGCGGCAUGCCUUACACAUGCAAGUCGAACGGCAGCACGGGAGCAAUCCUGGUGGCGAGUGGCGAACGGGUGAGUAAUAUAUCGGAACGUGCCCAGUCGUGGGGGAUAACGUAGCGAAAGCUACGCUAAUACCGCAUACGAUCUAUGGAUGAAAGCGGGGAUCGCAAGACCUCGCGCGAUUGGAGCGGCCGAUAUCAGAUUAGGUAGUUGGUGAGGUAAAGGCUCACCAAGCCGACGAUCUGUAGCUGGUCUGAGAGGAUGAUCAGCCACACUGGGACUGAGACACGGCCCAGACUCCUACGGGAGGCAGCAGUGGGGAAUAUUGGACAAUGGGCGAAAGCCUGAUCCAGCCAUGCCGCGUGUGUGAAGAAGGUCUUCGGAUUGUAAAGCACUUUAAGUUGGGAGGAAGGGUAGUAACCUAAUACGUUGCUACUUUGACGUUACCGACAGAAUAAGCACCGGCUAACUUCGUG
rnacentral:rRNA from 1 species